rnacentral:rRNA from 1 species
UUUCCUACGGGAGGCAGCAGUGGGGAAUAUUCCGCAAUGGGCGCAAGCCUGACGGAGCAACGCCGCGUGAAUGAAGAAGGUUUUCGGAUUGUAAAGUUCUGUCAUUAGGGACGAAGGACCUGUGCGAAUAGUGCAGGGGAUGACGGUACCUAAGGAGGAAGCUCCGGCUAACUACGUGCCAGCAGCCGCGGUAAUACGUAGGGAGCAAGCGUUGUCCGGAAUUACUGGGCGUAAAGGGCGCGUAGGCGGAUUGUUAAGUCAGAUGUGAAAUCUCCGGGCUCAACCCGGAGCGUGCAUUUGAAACU